GGCGUUGGCGGAGCCGGGGCACUGCCCUGGCGGGGAGGAGCCGGCGCGGCGGGGGCGGCGCGUUAACCAGCUCGGGGCCCGGGAGCGCGCGCGGGGAGGGGGCGGGGGUCACCCGGGUCGGGGCCCUCGAGUUCGAUCUGUCCCGCAGCCGGCGGUCUUGCGUCUUUCCCGCCCCCAGCACUGCCCCCGAGCACGUGCACGUGCCCACCGCCAGCCACAGCACUAACUGUGUGCCAGAGAGCAGUGAGAACCGAAGACACAGUAGCUUCUAUCAAGGCCCUCAUCGCCUGGUGGGAGACUGAGAAGGAAAGAAGGCAAUGAUGACAAGAUCUCAGCUGAGAUGUCAUCUCCUCAAAGAUUUGCAUGGCUGUAGGCUUUGCCACCAGGAGAUAGUGACCCAACAAACAAGCUUGUAUGGAGCCUAGAAAUCAACGCCUGAUUCUUACUGAAGUAGUCCUGGAAACAAACCCUCCCAUUCCUCCUUGCUCACCUCCAGCACUCAGGGCGCCCUUCCAUUUUGUAGGAGCCAGAUCAGCAGAAAGGCCUGAAGGUUCUCCCCACAUACUCCUGUUCCCACUCCCCUUUUCCUUUUGUGACUUAUCCCCAAUAAACCUCUAACACUGCUAACUCCAU
rnacentral:lncRNA from 1 species